GGAUUAGUGGCGAACGGGUGAGUAACACGUGAGUAACCUGCCCUUGACUCUGGGAUAAGCCUGGGAAACCGGGUCUAAUACUGGAUACGACCUUCUGGCGCAUGCCAUGUUGGUGGAAAGCUUUUGUGGUUUUGGAUGGACUCGCGGCCUAUCAGCUUGUUGGUGGGGUAAUGGCCUACCAAGGCGACGACGGGUAGCCGGCCUGAGAGGGUGACCGGCCACACUGGGACUGAGACACGGCCCAGACUCCUACGGGAGGCAGCAGUGGGGAAUAUUGCACAAUGGGCGCAAGCCUGAUGCAGCGACGCCGCGUGAGGGAUGAAGGCCUUCGGGUUGUAAACCUCUUUCAGUAGGGAAGAAGCUGAUCUUUGGGUUGGUGACGGUACCUGCAGAAGAAGCGCCGGCUAACUACGUGCCAGCAGCCGCGGUAAUACGUAGGGCGCAAGCGUUAUCCGGAAUUAUUGGGCGUAAAGAGCUCGUAGGCGGUUUGUCGCGUCUGCCGUGAAAGUCCGGGGCUUAACCCCGGAUCUGCGGUGGGUACGGGCAGACUAGAGUGCAGUAGGGGAGACUGGAAUUCCUGGUGUAGCGGUGAAAUGCGCAGAUAUCAGGAGGAACACCGAUGGCGAAG
rnacentral:rRNA from 1 species